rnacentral:rRNA from 1 species
AACGAACGCUGGCGGCAGGCUUAACACAUGCAAGUCGAACGCACCUUUCGGGGUGAGUGGCAGACGGGUGAGUAACGCGUGGGAAUCUACCCUUCUCUACGGGAUAGCUCCGGGAAACUGGAAUUAAUACCGUAUACGUCCUGAGGGAGAAAGAUUUAUCGGGGAAGGAUGAGCCCGCGUUGGAUUAGCUAGUUGGUGGGGUAAAGGCCUACCAAGGCGACGAUCCAUAGCUGGUCUAAGAGGAUGAUCAGCCACAUUGGGACUGAGACACGGCCCAAACUCCUACGGGAGGCAGCAGUGGGGAAUAUUGGACAAUGGGCGCAAGCCUGAUCCAGCCAUGCCGCGUGAGUGAUGAAGGCCCUAGGGUUGUAAAGCUCUUUCAGUGGGGACGAUAAUGACGGUACCCACAGAAGAAGCCCCGGCUAACUUCGUGCCAGCAGCCGCCGCCGUAA